CCUACGGGCGGCAGCAGUGGGGAAUAUUGGACAAUGGGCGAAAGCCUGAUCCAGCCAUGCCGCGUGUGUGAAGAAGGCCUUCGGGUUGUAAAGCACUUUCAGUGGGGAAGAAAGCCUUGGGGCUAAUACCCUCGAGGAAGGACAUCACCCACAGAAGAAGCACCGGCUAACUCCGUGCCAGCAGCCGCGGUAAUACGGAGGGUGCGAGAGUUAAUCGGAAUUACUGGGCGUAAAGCGCGCGUAGGCGGUCUGAUAAGCCGGUUGUGAAAGCCCCGGGCUCAACCUGGGAACGGCAUCCGGAACUGUCAGGCUAGAGUGCAGGAGAGGAAGGUAGAAUUCCCGGUGUAGCGGUGAAAUGCGUAGAGAUCGGGAGGAAUACCAGUGGCGAAGGCGGCCUUCUGGACUGACACUGACGCUGAGGUGCGAAAGCGUGGGUAGCAAACAGGAUUAGAUACCCCAGUAGU
rnacentral:rRNA from 1 species